GGGCGGGUAGCUCAGUUGGAUAGAGUGUUGGCCUCCGAAGCCAAAGGUCGUGGGUUCGAAUCCCGCUCCGCCCA
rnacentral:tRNA from 1 species